CGCGUAGGUGGUAGUGUAAGUCUGGGGUGGAAUGCCGGGGCUUAACCCUGGAAUUGCCUUGGAAACUGCAUUACUUGAGUCAGUGAGGGGAGGGUAGAAUUCCUGGUGUAGCGGUGAAAUGCGUAGAUAUCAGGAGGAAGGCCUGUGGCGAAGGCGGCCCUCUGGUGCUGGACUGACACUGAGGCGCGAAAGCGUGGGGAGCAAACAGGAUUAGAUACCCUGGUAGUCCACGCCCUAAACGGUGGGCACUAGGUGUAGGGCUCGUAAGGGUUCUGUGCCGAAGGGAAACCAUUAAGUGCCCGCCUGGGGAGUACGGCCGCAAGGCUGAA
rnacentral:rRNA from 1 species